rnacentral:rRNA from 1 species
AUUGGACGCUGGCGGCAGGCCUAACACAUGCAAGUCGAGCGGCAGCGGAAAGUAGCUUGCUACUUUGCCGGCGAGCGGCGGACGGGUGAGUAAUGUCUGGGAAACUGCCUGAUGGAGGGGGAUAACUACUGGAAACGGUAGCUAAUACCGCAUAACGUCGCAAGGCCAAAGAGGGGGACCUUCGGGCCUCUUGCCAUCAGAUGUGCCCAGAUGGGAUUAGCUAGUAGGUGGGGUAACGGCUCACCUAGGCGACGAUCCCUAGCUGGUCUGAGAGGAUGACCAGGCACACUGGAACUGAGACACGGUCCAGACUCCUACGGGAGGCAGCAGUGGGGAAAAUUGCACAAUGGGCGCAAGCCUGAUGCAGCCAUGCCGCGUGUAUGAAGAAGGCCUUCGGGUUGUAAAGUACUUUCAGCGGGGAGGAAGGUGUUGAGGUUAAUAACCUCAGCAAUUGACGUUACCCGCAGAAGAAGCACCGGCUAACUCCGUGCCAGCCGCCGCGUAACAC